rnacentral:tRNA from 1 species
GGCUCGUUGGUCUAGGGGUAUGAUUCUCUCUUUGGGUGCGAGACGUCUCGGGUUCAAAUCCCGGACGAGCCC